rnacentral:rRNA from 1 species
UACGAAGGGGGCUAGCGUUGUUCGGAAUCACUGGGCGUAGAGCGCACGUAGGCGGAUCUUUAAGUCGGGGGUGAAAUCCCGAGGCUCAACCUCGGAACUGCCUUUGAUACUGGGGAUCUCGAGUCCGGGAGAGGUGAGUGGAACUGCGAGUGUAGAGGUGAAAUUCGUAGAUAUUCGCAAGAACACCAGUGGCGAAGGCGGCUCACUGGCCCGGAACUGACGCUGAGGUGCGAAAGCGUGGGGAGCAAACAGG